CGCACAUUGCGCCCCUUGGUAUUCCGGGGGGCAUGCCUGUUCGAGCGUCAUUUAAACCUCAAGCCUCGCUUGGUAUUGGGAGCGGCCGCCGGCCCUCCUCCAACCCGUUGGGCGGCACCGUUUGGAUCCAAGCGUAUCAGUAAUUAUCGCUUUGGAGCUGUGCGGUCCCGGCCGGUGACAGCACUACAGUUUGACCUCGGAUCAGGUAGGGAUACCCGCUGAACUUAA
rnacentral:misc_RNA from 1 species